rnacentral:rRNA from 1 species
GUAAGUUAUUAAGGGCACACGGUGGAUGCCUUGGCAUUAAGAGCCGAUGAAGGACGUGUGAAUCUGCGAUAAGCCUCGGGGAGCCGAUAACUGGGCUGUGAUCCGAGGAUUUCCGAAUGGGGAAACCUGGCUCAUCUUCAUGGUGAGUUACCGCCAGCUGAAUGUAUAGGCUGGUUGGGGGGAACGCGGGGAAGUGAAACAUCUCAGUACCCGCAGGAAGAGAAAAUAAAGUAAUGAUUCUGUGAGUAGUGGCGAGCGAAAGCGGAAGAGACUAAACCUGUGGUGUGUGAUAGCGGUUAGGCGUUGCAUCAUGGGGGUUGUGGGAGUCACAGUGGCAGUUCUAACUGGCUGCCGGCAUGAUGUUCAGGAUGGUAGGUGAACGACUUGGAAUGGUCGGCCGUAGAGGGUGAGAGUCCCGUAAUCGAAAUUGUUCUGUCCGUGGUGUGGCCACCCGAGUAGCACGGGGCUCGUGGAAUCUCGUGUGAAUCUGCCAGGACCACCUGGUAAGUCUAAAUACUUCUUAAUGACCGAUAGUGAAUCAGUACCGUGAGGGAAUGGUGAAAAGUACCCCGGGAGGGGAGUGAAAUAGUACCUGAAACCGUGUGCUUACAAGCCGUUGGAGCCUUUUGGGGUGACAGCGUGCCUUUUGAAGAAUGAGCCUGCGAGUUAGUGUUAUGUCGCGAGGUUAACCCGUGUGGGGUAUCCGUAGCGAAAGCGAGUCUGAAUAGGGCGUUUGAGUGGCAUGACCUAGACCCGAAGCGGAGUGAUCUAUCCAUGGCCAGGUUGAAGCGACGGUAAGACGUCGUGGAGGACCGAACCCACUUCAGUUGAAAAUGGAGGGGAUGAGCUGUGGAUAGGGGUGAAAGGCCAAUCAAACUCUGUGAUAGCUGGUUCUCCCCGAAAUGCAUUUAGGUGCAGCGUUACGUGUUUCUUGCCGGAGGUAGAGCUACUGGAUGGCCGAUGGGCCUUCACGGGUUACUGACGUCAGCUAAACUCCGAAUGCCGGUAAGUGAGAGCGUAGCAGUGAGACAGUGGGGGAUAAGCUUCAUUGUCGAGAGGGAAACAGCCCAGACCACCAACUAAGGCCCCUAAGCGUGUGCUAAGUGGGAAAGGAUGUGGAGUUGCUUAGACAACCAGGAGGUUGGCUUAGAAGCAGCCAUCCUUGAAAGAGUGCGUAACAGCUCACUGGUCAAGUGAUUCUGCGCCGAUAAUGUAGCGGGGCUCAAGUACACCGCCGAAGUUGUGGCAAUGACCCUUUGGGGUUGUUGGGUAGGGGAGCGUCGUGUGGCCGUUGAAGCUGCGGUGUAAACCAGUGGUGGAGGCUAUGCGAGUGAGAAUGCAGGCAUGAGUAGCGAAAGAUGAGUGAGAAACUCAUCCGCCGGAUGAUCAAGGGUUCCAGGGUCAAGUUAAUCUGCCCUGGGUUAGUCGGGGCCUAAGGCGAGGCCGACAGGCGUAGUCGAUGGAUAACGGGUUGAUAUUCCCGUACCGGUGAAAAACCGCCCAUACUGAUAUUGUGAUGCUAACCAUGCGAAGCAUGAUGUGCAGGCUUUUGUUUGUGUGUUGUGUGGGUUGUGGGACCCGAUCUUUGGAGGUAAACGUGUUAACAGGUGUGACGCAGGAAGGUAGCCAAGCCACGCGAUGGUUGUCGUGGUCUAAGCGUGUAGGGUUGUCGGUUGUUAAAUGCGCCGGCUGUGUGCCUGAGACGUGAUGGGACCCCGUUUUUUGGGGGAUUUGGUGAUCCUAUGCUGCCGAGAAAAGCAUCGGCGUGAGGUUUUAGCCGCCCGUACCCUAAACCGACACAGGUGAUCAGGUAGAGAAUACUAAGGCGAUCGAGAGAAUCAUGGUUAAGGAACUCGGCAAAAUGCCCCCGUAACUUCGGGAGAAGGGGGACCUUGAGCGUGAUGGGCACUUGCUGCCUGGAGCGUGUAUGGGUCGCAGAGACCAGGGGGAAGCGACUGUUUAUCAAAAACACAGGUCCGUGCGAAGUCGUAAGACGAUGUAUACGGACUGACUCCUGCCCGGUGCUGGAAGGUUAAGAGGAUUGGUUAGCCUUUUUUGGGCGAAGCUGAGAAUUUAAGCCCCAGUAAACGGCGGUGGUAACUAUAACCAUCCUAAGGUAGCGAAAUUCCUUGUCGGGUAAGUU